UACAAUAAUGUUGGGAAAAGGUACGAAGAUAUUUCCGUAUUGGGGCAAAGGCCAGCUGAGUGAUGGAUGUUGAUUGAGGAUUUUUGGUGCUUUUAAGCACAUUUCAAGUUAGAAGGCACAUCUAUGUUAAACUUUGUCCUGCACAACCUAAUAAUUAUUCUCCUGUUAGCUGAACAUUGUCCAGAUUGUACUUUGAGGCUGGAAAAAUGCUAAAUCUCUUUUGUUUGGGUGUUUAAACUUUUUCUGAGGUGAGUCAAUUUAUUGAACUUUCAUAUUGGUG
rnacentral:misc_RNA from 1 species